rnacentral:ncRNA from 1 species
AUUAAUAUUUGGCAAACUAUAUGAAAAUAUAGGGCGCAAAACUAUAGGGCCUUGAAAAUGGUAGCCAGCUGCAUAA